rnacentral:ncRNA from 1 species
UAAUAAAGUCGUAUACAUCGUAUAAUAUUGGGGAUAUGGCCCAAAAGUUUCUACCAGGCUACCGUAAAUGGCUUGACUACGAAGUAAGUGAUA